UGGGGGAAUAUUGCACAAUGGGCGCAAGCCUGAUGCAGCAACGCCGCGUGGAGGAAGACGGUUUUCGGAUUGUAAACUCCUGUUCUUAGUGAAGAAAAAUGACGGUAGCUAAGGAGCAAGCCACGGCUAACUACGUGCCAGCAGCCGCGGUAAUACGUAGGUGGCAAGCGUUGUCCGGAUUUACUGGGUGUAAAGGGCGUGUAGCCGGGAGGGCAAGUCAGAUGUGAAAUCCACGGGCUUAACUCGUGAACUGCAUUUGAAACUGUUCUUCUUGAGUAUCGGAGAGGCAAUCGGAAUUCCUAGUGUAGCGGUGAAAUGCGUAGAUAUUAGGAGGAACACCAGUGGCGAAGGCGGAUUGCUGGACGACAAACUGACGGUGAGG
rnacentral:rRNA from 1 species